CCCGCUGAACUUAAGCAUAUCAGUAAGCGGAGGAAAAGAAACUAACAAGGAUUCCGUAAGUAACGGCGAGUGAAAACGGAUGAGCCCAGCGCGUAAUCCUUCAGGCUCUUCGCCUGUUUGGAGGUGUCGCGUAUAGGUGUAGCCUUCUGGCUUGACUGCUGCCUGAACUCCGCUGGAAUGCAGGGAUCUGAGAGGGUGUAAAACCCGUUCGGGUGGCAGUCGUGUCGGUCGGUUGCUCCUCUGGAGUCGAGUUGCUUGAGAGUGCAGCUCAAAGUAGGUGGUAUACCACAUCUAAGGCUAAAUACGAUUCUGAUUCCGAUAGCGAACAAGUACCGUGAGGGAAAGAUGAAAAGCACUUUGGAAAGAGAGUUAAACAGUACGUGAAAUUGUUGAAAGGGAAACGUUUGAAGUCAGUCGCGUCGGCCGAGACACAACCUUGCUUCUGCUCGGUGCACUUCUCGGUUGACGGGUCAGCAUCAAUUUUGACCGCCGGAUAAAGGUCGGGGGAAUGUGGCAUCCUUCGGGAUGUGUUAUAGACCUCGAUUCGGAUACGGCGAUUGGGAUUGAGGAACUCGGCGCUUUGCGUCCAGGAUGCUGGCAUAAUGGCUUUAAGCGACCCGUCUUGAAACACGG
rnacentral:rRNA from 1 species